UCUUCACCAGGACUGGAACGGGACCGGGGCGCGGCGGCGCCAGGUGUGACGGGUGCCUCCGCGAGGUGAACGGGCGCGGACAGGCGGAACGGAGCGUGGGGGCAUUGCUGGCAGCAGGCCCCGCGCCGGGCGCUCACACCAACAAAGGACUUGGGCGGCUGCGGGAGCAAGAACCCCGCGGGUGGAGGCCCUGCCGCCCACACCCCCCCGUCCCAGUGCCCUCCGUGCGCACGGGUAGGGCACACGGCCUGGGUGAUGGAGGGGACACCGGGGCAAGGCCGGAGCGGUGCUGCCUGUUCACAGUGCGGCCGCCGGCUCGUCCCCUGGCCUGGCUGUGCCUCGGCGGCACCCUGCGCUUUCCCCGAGUGCUGCUGCUGCUGUGGUUAAUGAUGUUUAAGGAGUGUCUUUGGAGCGCUGCGUGAAAGGAAUUGUCUAAAAAAGGCUGUAUUGACAGAAAUCGCUACAGCUUGAGGGCUGCUGCAAUGAGAAGUAAAACAGCUGCUGUAAAGCCUAGGAAGUGACAUGAUUCCUGUGAACAGUUGUAAAAAAAAUUCAGAGAUAUUUAUGAAUGGAAAGCAUUAUACACAUAAAAUACAUUAUAAACAGUAUUGUGUGUUUGAGCUAUCAUCAAGGCGUCUUCCAUUUAAGGUAUUGUGUAAAGUUAUCUGAAAGCAUUAAAUUAAAUUUUCCUC